rnacentral:tRNA from 1 species
GGAAAGUUGGGUGAGUGGCUGAAACCAACAGUUUGCUAAACUGUCGUACGGGAUUAACUGUACCGGGGGUUCGAAUCCCCCACUUUCCGCCA